GACAAUUGUCUAAGCUGAGAAAAGUAAUUAAAUAAUGCAGACAGUUGUUAUGAACUUUUAAUUUCUUUAAAAUAUUAGUUCUGAGCUCGUGAUCAAUAAAAAAUUUAAUUAAAAACACAGGUAGAGAUUAGCGAUCAUUAGCCAAUAUUUCCCGGAGGCAUUACUAUAGUUAUUAGGAGGGCCCUCAGGAUUAUAACACUUUACUGGAGUGGCAGUUUUAUUACAGGAAAAGGAUAACAACAAAAAAUAAGUUCAAAAUGGCAAUUUAGACAAUGUUAGAAACUCGAUCUCAACGAAAUGACAUUGAAUGACCGAAAUUAUUUCUGUAAAAAAAUAAAAUUUGUCCUAAAUCCCAAUUACUCAUUUAGGACAAACCACUUUCAGUUUAGGUCAAGACUGGCAUAUAUGACCGUUUCCGGACCCUUGUUC
rnacentral:lncRNA from 1 species